UGGGUAGAUGUGAUAUCUUUUAUUAGAUCAACUAAAUAGUUGGAAAAAUUGUUCUUUGCAAGCUUUCAGGCCCAAGUUCCCUUCUUCAGGUGUAGGGAAAGUCUGCUGGUGUUUAUAUG